AUUGAACGCUGGCGGCAGGCCUAACACAUGCAAGUCGAACGAGUGGCGGACGGGUGAGUAAUGUCUGGGAAACUGCCCGAUGGAGGGGGAUAACUACUGGAAACGGUAGCUACUACCGCAUACCAUCGGAUGUGCCCAGAUGGGAUUAGCUUGUAGGUGAGGUAAAGGCUCACCUAGGCGACGAGCCCUAGCUGGUCUGAGAGGAUGACCAGCAACACGGGAACGGAGACACGGUCCAGACUCCUACGGGAGGCAGCAGUGGGGAAUAUGGGAAAAUGGGGGCAAGCCUGAUGAAGCCAUGCCGGGUGUAUGAAGAAGGCCUGCGGGUUGUAAAGUAAUUUCAGCGGGGAGGCGUUACCCGCAGAAGAAGCACCGGCUAACUCCGUGCCAGCAGCCGCGGUAAUA
rnacentral:rRNA from 1 species